rnacentral:misc_RNA from 1 species
AUUACGGACUUUAUCUAGUCUAGAAUGGUCACAAAUUUGGUGAUGAUUUUCCUCCACAAAAGAAGGGGAAAAUGGACUUUUAUGCUCACAUGACAGAGCAGCAAACAUACCGAACAUGGUAUUUCAAAACUCGUCAUUGCCAAGCAGAAAAAAAUUACUGAACCAAUCACAUUCCGAUGUCUAUAUCAAAAUAACGUUAACUCACAAAAACACAGCAAAUUUAUAACUUAAUAUUCAGCACUCUGAGUGUUAAGCCAAUAUUUUAUUGUGUUUAAAACAUAUAACUUAAGCUCCUCGAAUAGGGAAUUUAACCACUGGACAAUUAUCCAUUAAAUAUGCUAACGCCCGCUUCUUUCUUCACCAAAAGCCUCAUUUCAUAGAAGAGGAAGUAAAAUAAUUAGAACCGACCUAUAUAACUACCCUCUUAAACUUCAUAUCCAGGACCCUAGUCCUAUAUAAAUGCAAGAAAAUAUUUUAUUACUCUAAAAACAAAUAUACAGAUACAAAAAAACAAGUGUAUUAUAGUCAUUAGAUCUAUGAAAUCAUAGACUUGGAUACUGAAUAAAUUUUAAAUUUGUCAAACCAUAUGUUCCUGAACAAACCUUGGAAAAAAAUGAUCCACAGAG